rnacentral:tRNA from 1 species
GUACAAGUGGUGGGAGGAAGGCUGGUUAAACUGUUUGGUUUUCGACCACUAGGACCCGGGUUCGAUUCCCGCAUUGGACA